rnacentral:rRNA from 1 species
CGGCAAUGGAGGAAACUCUGACCGAGCAACGCCGCGUGAAUGACGAAGUACUUCGGUAUGUAAAGUUCUUUUAUCGAGGAAGAAAAGCAAAUGGCGAACCAUUUGUUUGCCGGUACUUGAUGAAUAAGCCCCGGCUAAUUAUGUGCCAGCAGCCGCGGUAAGACAUAAGGGGCAAGUGUUAUCCGGAAUUAUUGGGCGUAAAGGGUGCGUAGGCGGUCUAGUAAGUCAGUGGUGUAAUGGCAACGCUUAACGUUGUCCGGCUAUUGAAACUGCUAAACUUGAGUUAGAUAGAGGCGAGUGGAAUUCCAUGUGUAGCGGUAAAAUGCGUAAAUAUAUGGAGGAACACCAGAGGCGUAGGCGGCUCGCUGGGUCUUAACUGACGCUGAGGCACGAAAGCGUGGGGAGCAAACAGGAUUAGAUACCCUGGUAGUCCCACGCCGUAAACGAUGAGUACUAAGUGUCGGGUAAAACCGGUACUGAAGUUAACACAUUAAGUACUCCGCCUGAGUAGUACGUACGCAAGUAUGAAACUUAAAGGAAUUGACGGGACUCCGCACAAGCGGUGGAUCAUGUUGUUUAAUUCGAAGAUACCCGAAAAACCUUACCAGGUCUUGACAUGUUUUUGCAAAACGGUAGUAAUAUAGUGGAGGUUACCAGAAACACAGGUGGUGCAUGGUUGUCGUCAGCUCGUGUCGUGAGAUGUUAGGUUAAGUCCUAAAACGAGCGAAACCCUUAUCGUUAGUUGCCAGCACGUUAUGGUGGGGACUUUAACGAGACUGCCAAUGAUAAAUUGGAGGAAGGUGAGGAUCACGUCAAAUCAGCAUGCCCCUUAUGACCUGGGCUACAAACGUGAUACAAUGGCUGUUACAAAGGGUAGCUGAA